CUUACUCUGUGAGCCUUCCUCCUGGAAAUCAUUUAAAUAAAGACUUACAGUAGAGGGUAAAGUAAGCAAGGCAUACUAAAGGUAAAAGGAAAAAACUGUCGGAACAAACAUCUAGGCAUUGAUCCAUAUCCGUAGAAGAAAGGCUUGGACUUCGUUACGUUCGUUACAUUCCGAUGACCAGAGAGUAAUGAUUGAAGGGAGGAGAAGGUAGUUCAAAUUACCAGUACCCAACUCCAAAACCAGCAAUUUGUUUAUCGGACAGUUGAUAGGAAUUGAUAAACUUAAGUUUUUGGUUUUGGCAGAUUACUGAACAAAAACGAAAUUUUGUAAAAUAGUUUUUAUUUGUUACUGAAGCUAUUUAAAAAAUUUUUCAAAAUAAAUAACACAUUAUUAUGGCCACUUUUUCCACAA